UGACUCUUAAAAGCCACGUCCCGGAGACGCUUCUCUCUUUUCCUGUGCGGUCGGCGGCUGGGUGCGCGUGGGAGACGAUCGCUCGGAUGCUGGGACGGAGCCUUGAGAUGCUGGAACCAGUCAGGCAUGAGCCUGGUAUUGCUUUCACUUGCUUUCCCAGCAGGUGAGGAGCUGGUGCCCCUGUCCUGGAGACUACCUGCUGCCAAAUCCGGCAGGGCCAUCUGGAGGUGCCCUUCUGAACCCUGAGCAGUUCUGAGAUCUCUUGCCUGCUGGAUGGCAUGAAGUGGGCACACAGCAGCUAUCAUGCAAGAGAUCUCUUGCUAAAUGGAAGAGGCUGAUGCUGCCAAGGGGAGCUAAUGGACUGGCCAGUCGGUCUUGCCACCUAGUGGAACAUGAUAGUGUCUCCCAAGGGGCUAGAACUCUGGAAAGACCCAUGGAUGGGCAAAAUCAGAGUGGAACAUAGACUGGACUGUCUCCUCCAACUUUCAGUCCCUCUUAAAAGCUAUGUUUCUGCUUCCCAAAGAGAACAUUAUCCUGCAUAGAAAAUCCUCUUCCCUUACCUCUGUCUGCCUGUUCUUAGGCUGCAAGCUCCGCAGGGUAGGGGCCCAUCCCUUCUCUUGCGUAUGAAAAUUACCUAGCGCUACUCACACAUCCUGGGAAAUUGUUUACAGGCUCAACUGCAUCUGUAUCAAUACACAAUACAAGGACUGUCCUUUCCAGAGAGCUUGUGUUCUUAGUAAAAACUCCCCUGUAUAGGGAAUCAGGAAAUAAUAAAUGCAGCAGUCAAAGAAAUUUUUGCCUCAGACUUUUCUGUUCAAACUUUUAGUUGGUAAUUAAACUGACUGGCCUAUGGUCUUGAUUUCUGUUCCCAGCUCUGCUGCUGGGUGAGCUAGGCCUGUGGUUCCCAACCUUUGUGGGCUUGGGACCCAUUUGUAAAUGUUUAUGUCCUGUUGUGACUCAGUAAAUAGUCUGGGGGUGGAGGCCCUGGGGUGGUUUUGGUCAGAUCCUGUCCCCCAGGGGGUUGGGUCCUGCCUGGCACUCACCCCACAGUGACAGCUCCUGUGCUGUGGGGCUGGCUGGGUUUGGACCUGCUGCCCUGACUGGACCAAGUUUGAGUGUGGAGUUGUGAGCUGGCUCUGGGGAUUGCAGCGCCACUGACUCAAACUUGGCGUACCUGGAUUCCUGUUGUGGUGAUGUCUGGGCCAAACUUGAGCCGCCCUGGGUCCCCAGAGGUUGCAAUGCAUAGAGCACAGAAGUGAUCCCAGCCAGCCCUGUGGGACACCAGCUGCCACACAACCCUUUAUUUUGGGUGCCAACCCAUGGCUUGAGAAACCAUGAGCUAGGGAAAGUCACUUUGCUUCUGUGCCUCAGAUUCCCAAGCUAAAAUGUGCCUUUUUUGUAAAGCACACUGAGAUCUAAUGAUGAAAAGAUCUAUGUAAGCUAGGCGUUGUGUAAGAGCUAGGUGUUCCCAGAUUAACAAGGGUACUCUGAACUGUAGACAGACAAAAGAUAACUGUUAAGGUUUUUCUGACCUUGUAGGUGGCCAUGGUGGUGAGGUGGGUUUCUAUCCAAACAUUACUGGAGAGACUAGAGAAAGUGAAUUGAAAAUCCCUGUCUUACAGGGAUUUUCGACUCAGAGCAAUGACGGAACUAAAAGCAAAUCAACGGGCUGGUUAAUAAAGUCAGAUGCCAGAAAGGGGUAUGGUUACUGUUACUGUAGCAGCUGCAAUAUAGACAAGGCCUAAGUGAUAAUUUGUCACUGCAUUCGAGUGACCCUUACUUUAGUUGCAGGUAUGUUAAAAUGAGAAUGUGGGGAAGAAGGCAAACACCAAUUGUCACAUGGUGCUGCAGGCUAGUAGGGACUUUACUGUUUUCCUAUUGAUUUUACAUGCUCAGAUACCAUGGUGAUGGGCAGCAGAAUAAUACCCUAGGAUAAGAUAGUGAGAUGGGAAAUUUUGUCCAUUACCAGGUAACACCCCCUACUAAUCUUCAUCCAUGUUACAAACCCACCCCAGUUAUGUAUUCUGUUUGUAAAAGCCAAAUGCAGGGGUGGGGGCCACUUACCACCUUUCCCAAGUCUGUCAGUGUGGGUGUGGGCUGCGUUUUCCCCUCCACGCUUAAACCAGGGGUGGGAAGGAUUUCACAUGCUCCCCAAAGCCCAUGAGGAGACACACAUCCCUUCCCUUCCCUCUCCCCUGUUACAAUCCUGGACAUAAGGCCACACACCCCUUGCGGGAAGCCUGGGGCUGAGGUUGUUUCUUCCCUGAAAAUAUUGCUGAGGCAGUUUCCACUGUGAAAGAGUGGGUGGAAUCAGCAUUCUCUAACUAAGGAAGUCAGGGGAGGGCUGCAUUCCCUCUGCCCCAUAAGCAUGGGUGCAGGAAUUGCCAUUCUCCCUCCCCUGAAAGCAGUGGGGAGACUGUGUUGGAUCAUAUUAAAGAAGUUCUGUAUUAAAAUCACAAAUGAGUUUGAUUCCCCAUAGUUUAAAUUCCAGGGUAUUACUAACUAAGAGGUCUCUUGGUUUUUG